rnacentral:rRNA from 1 species
AACGUAGGAGACAAACGUUAUCCGGAGUUACUGGGCGUAAAGGGUGUGUAGGCGGUCCUCUAAGUUUGGUGUGAAAUCUCCCGGCUCAACCGGGAGGGUGCGCCGAAAACUGGAGGGCUAGAGUGCGGGAAGGGAGAGUGGAAUUCCUGGUGUAGCGGUGAAAUGCGUAGAUAUCAGGAGGAACACCGGUGGCGAAGGCGGGUCUCUGGGCCGAUACUGACGCUGAGGAGCGAAAGCGUGGGGAGCGAACAGG